UUUAAGGUCUAACCUGCCCAAUGAGGAUUUAAAUGGCCGCAGUAUUUUGACUGUGCAAAGGUAGCAUAAUUAUUAGUUUUUUAAUUGAAAGCUUGUAUGAAGGGUUGGACGAGAUAAAAUCUGUCUUUAUUUAAAUUAGAGUAUAACUUAACUUUUAAGUCAAAAGGCUUAAAUGUUUAUAAAAGACGAGAAGACCCUAUAGAUCUUUAUUUAUUUAAGAUUUUAAUAAUUUAGGAUUAUUUUAAUUUGAAGUUUUAAAUAAAUUUUAUUGGGGUAAUAUAAAGAUUAAAUUAAUUCUUUUUAUUUAUUACAUUGAUUUAUGAAUAUAUGAUCCAUUAAUACUGAUUAUAAGAUUAAGUUACCUUAGGGAUAACAGCGUAAUUUUUUUGGAGAGCUCAUAUCGAUAAGAAAGUUUGCGACCUCGAUGUUGGAUUAAAAAUUAGCUUGGGUGCAGAAGCUCAAGAUUUUGGUCUGUUCGACCAUUAAAUUUUUACAUGAUCUGAGUUCAGACCGGCGUAAGCCAGGUCGGUUUCUAUCUUUAUUUAAAUAAAAUGUUUUAGUACGAAAGGACCAAAUAUUUAAUAUAGUUAUAUUUAUUUUUU
rnacentral:rRNA from 1 species